rnacentral:rRNA from 1 species
GAAAUCCUUCGGGAGUUGUAAUUUGUAGGUUGGGAGACCCCGCGGCUAGUGGCACCAAGUCCCUUGGAACAGGGCGCCUUAGAGGGUGAGAGCCCCGUAGGUACCACAACACCGUCUUGUGUCUCCUCUCCAAAGAGUCGAGUUGUUUGGGAAUGCAGCUCAAAGUGGGUGGUAAAUUCCAUCUAAAGCUAAAUACCGGCGAGAGACCGAUAGCGAACAAGUACAGUGAUGGAAAGAUGAAAAGCACUUUGAAAAGAGAGUGAAACAGUACGUGAAAUUGUUGAAAGGGAAGGGCUUGCAAGCAGACACGGCCUUCGUGCCGGGCCAGCAUCGGUUGCUAGGGGUGGAUAAGGAACAAGGAAUGUAGCUCCUCGGAGUAUUAUAGCCUUGCGCGAUACACCCACUGGCGACCGAGGCCUGCGGUAUUCUUUACCUAGGAUGCUGGCGUAAUGGUUGCAAGCCGCCCGUCUUG